rnacentral:rRNA from 1 species
CUCCUUUGACGUUAGCGGCGGACGGGUGAGUAACACGUGGGUAACCUACCUAUAAGACUGGGAUAACUUCGGGAAACCGGAGCUAAUACCGGAUAAUAUUUCGAACCGCAUGGUUCGAUAGUGAAAGGUGGUUUUGCUAUCACUUAUAGAUGGACCCGCGCCGUAUUAGCUAGUUGGUAAGGUAACGGCUUACCAAGGCGACGAUACGUAGCCGACCUGACGAGGGUGAUCGGCCACUACUUGAACUGAGACACGGGUCCAGACUCCUACGGGAGGCAGCAGGU